AACGCGAAGAACCUUACCGGGGUUUGAACUGCGCCGGAAGCCGGCAGAGAUGUCGGGUCCCGCCUUGUGCGGGUCUGCGCAGAGGUGCUGCAUGGCUGUCGUCAGCUCGUGUCGUGAGAUGUUGGGUUAAGUCCCGCAACGAGCGCAACCCUUGUCGGUAGUUGCCAUCAGGUCAAGCUGGGCACUCUACCGAGACUGUCGGCGAAAAGCCGGAGGAAGGUGGGGAUGACGUCAAGUCCUCAUGGCCUUUAUGUCCCGGGCUACACACGUGCUACAAUGGGCGGAACAAAGGGCAGCCAACCUGCAAAGGCGCGCGAAUCCCAGAAAGCCGCUCUCAGUUCGGAUUGCAGUCUGCAACUCGACUGCAUGAAGGUGGAAUCGCUAGUAAUCGCAGAUCAGAACGCUGCGGUGAAUACGUUCCCGGGCCUUGUACACACCG
rnacentral:rRNA from 1 species